rnacentral:rRNA from 1 species
AACCCUCGCGUGAUGUCAGCAAUACCUAGGUAACCCUUGAAUAAACUACCCUUGUUGCUUUGGCGGGCCGCCGUCUCGGCCAGCGGCUUCGGCUGCUGCGCGCCCGCCAGAGGACCACAACUCUUGUUUUUAGUGAUGUCUGAGUACUAUAUAAUAGUUAAAACUUUCAACAACGGAUCUCUUGGUUCUGGCAUCGAUGAAGAACGCAGCGAAAUGCGAUAAGUAAUGUGAAUUGCAGAAUUCAGUGAAUCAUCGAAUCUUUGAACGCACAUUGCGCCCUUUGGUAUUCCGAAGGGCAUGCCUGUUCGAGCGUCAUUAUAACCACUCAAGCUCUCGCUUGGUAUUGGGGUGCGCGGUUCCGCGGCCUCUAAAGUCAGUGGCGGUGCCUGUCGGCUCUACGCGUAGUAAUACUCCUCGCGUCUGGGUCCGGUAGGUUGCUUGCCAAUAACCCCCAAAUUUUUACAGGUGACCUCGGAUCAGGUAG